GUGCCAGCCGCGGCGGUAAUACGUAGGUGGCGAGCGUUGUCCGGAAUUAUUGGGCGUAAAAGAGCAUGUAGGCGGGACUUAAGUCUGUUGUUAAAAUGCGGGGCUCAACCCCGUAGUGCGAUGGAAACUGUAGUUCUUGAGUGCAGGAGAGGAAAGGGGAAUUCCCAGUGUAGCGGUGAAAUGCGUAGAUAUUGGGAGGAACACCAGUGGCGAAGGCGCCUUUCUGGACUGUGUCUGACGCUGAGAUGCGAAAGCCAGGGAGCGAACGGGAUUAGAUACCCCGGUAGUCCUGGCCGUAAACGAUGGGUACUAGGUGUAGGGGUAUCGACCCCUCUGUGCCGGAGUUAACGCAAUAAGUACCCGC
rnacentral:rRNA from 1 species